rnacentral:lncRNA from 1 species
CUAAAAUGGAAAACUUUACUUAACUUUUUUUGGUUUUAGGACCUACUCUUCACAACCCAAUAGGUCCCCAAAGCGCUCGAGUGACUGCACAUUUAGCAUACUUUGCUCCCCUACCAUUACCUGUUUGUAUUUUAUGAGGGUUAAGGUUUUGAGUAAGUAGUGGCCUGAUCCACAAAAAUUUUGUUUGUGAUUGUUGUCUGGUUAUACAGUAGUCAAUGAUAGAUUUUAACCCCCUUUUACUUUGUUCCCACGUGAAUUUGCGGAUGUCUUUAUGUAUGAUACAGAGUUAAGUGACAUUCAUAUUAUUCAUGUUGGUAACAAGAUGACAUGACAGCGAGGUGACGGUGACAGGAGCCAGGUUCAGGGUUGUUAGGUGAGCGUUACCGGCAUGUGAAAUGUGAACUAGUUAUAAUUGUUACUCAUACAAUAAUUAUUAUCUAAUAUUGUA